rnacentral:rRNA from 1 species
GAUGAACGCUAGCGGCAGGCUUAAUACAUGCAAGUCGUGGGGCAGCAGGGGUAGCAAUACCCGCUGGCGACCGGCAAACGGGUGCGGAACACGUACGCAACCUUCCUUUAACUGGAGAAUAGCCCCUCGAAAGAGGGAUUAAUACUCCGUAACAUGUACAUGUGGCAUCACAAGUACAUUAUAGCUCCGGCGGUUAAAGAUGGGCGUGCGCCUGAUUAGAUAGUUGGCAGGGUAACGGCCUACCAAGUCUGCGAUCAGUAACUGGUGUGAGAGCACGACCAGUCACACGGGCACUGAGACACGGGCCCGACUCCUACGGGAGGCAGCAGUAAGGAAUAUUGGUCAAUGGACGCAAGUCUGAACCAGCCAUGCCGCGUGGAGGAUUAAGGCCCUCUGGGUUGUAAAC